GCCAGCAGCCAUGUCACCCUGCAACUUACAAUUGGCCAACCCACUAAAGCUAAGCAGGUGUGAGCCUGGUCGGUACUGUACCUAGAUGGGAGACCUCCUGGGAAAAACUGAGGUUGCUGCUGAAA
rnacentral:rRNA from 1 species